UACCGUGAAGACCUUUAUACAACACGGUCGUUCACGCCGUAGUCUGCAAAUAUAUUCAUGACUGUCUGGAAACCUGGCAAACUUCAAAGCCACAAAAUAGAAGACAAAAUCCAGGGCUGCAAAUAAAUAUUUGACUUGACAGGACAUUUGUCCGAUCACUUUUAAUUUUGGUCGGACAUAACUUGAAUUUGGUCGGACAAAAACCAACACCACUAAAUUUGGUCGGACAUAUAUACGCCACAAGAUAUAUAUAAGUCACGAGACAAGUAUGUAUAGCCAUUCCGGCGCAUUGUUACUGUAAGUAAAAUGCUAGAAUACCUUGUAAAUUUUAUUGCAAAAUGCAAAUUGAGUGAAUUUGCAAUCGGAUUUUGUCACAGCAAAAAAAUAUAUAAUGUGACAAUUUUUUUGUGAUCGGACCAAUGUCCGAUCAAAAUUAUUUUUGCUCGGACAUUUGCCAAAUUUAGUCGGACAUUGUCCGAUGUCCGACAGUAAUUUGCAGCCGUGCAUUUUUUUAUAUGCUGAACUGUACCUCACCGCGUGCACAAAUCCUCUGUCUCAAUUUCACUAAAUCUUACUCGUGAGCCACUUUUUUGUUUUUCCCACAUUAUGACGUCAUACUGUGUACCUAUAACUGAUUAGUAUAAAUUUCCAG